rnacentral:rRNA from 1 species
GCUGGCGGCACGCCUUAUACAUGCAAGUCGAACGAAGUAGCAAUACUUAGUGGCAGACGGGUGAGUAACAUGUGGGUAUCUUCCCUUUGGUGAGGAAUAACACGAGGAAACUUGUGCUAAUACCUCAUAAGUCUUUACGGAGAAAGCUUUAUGCGCCAAUGGAUGAGCCCGCACUUGAUUAGUUUGUUGGUGGGGUAAUGGCCUACCAAGACUGUGAUCAAUAGCUGAUUUGAGAGGAUGAUCAGCCACAUUGGGACUGAGACACGGCCCAAACUCCUACGGGAGGCAGCAGUAAGGAAUCUUGCACAAUGGAGGAAACUCUGAUGCAGCGAUGCCGCGUGAGUGAAGAAGGCCUUUGGGUUGUAAAGCUCUUUCGUCGGGGAAGAAAAUGACUGUACCCGAAUAAGAAGGUCCGGCUAACUUCGUGCCAGCAGCCGCGGUAAUACGAAGGGACCUAGCGUAGUUCGGAAUUACUGGGCUUAAAGAGUUCGUAGGUGGUUAAAAAAGUUGGUAGUGAAAUCCCAGAGCUUAACUCUGGAACUGCUAUCAAAACUUUUUAGCUAGAGUAUGAUAGAGGAAAGCAGAAUUUCUAGUGUAGAGGUGAAAUUCGUAGAUAUUAGAAAGAAUACCAAUUGCGAAGGCAGCUUUCUGGAUCAUUACUGACGCUGAGGAACGAAAGCAUGGGUAGCGAAGAGGAUUAGAUACCCUCGUAGUCCAUGCUGUAAACGAUGUGUGUUAGACGUUGGAAAUUUAUUUUCAGUGUCGCAGCGAAAGCGAUAAACACACCGCCUGGGGAGUACGACCGCAAGUAAACUCAAAUGAUAG